GAUGGGCAUCUUCCACAGGUUCUCUGGCAGUAAGUGUUGACAAAGCUUUGCAUUCCAA
rnacentral:sRNA from 1 species